rnacentral:rRNA from 1 species
CCAAUAGCGUAUAUUAAAGUUGUUGCAGUUAAAAAGCUCGUAGUUGAAUUUCGGGGUCAGCAGGUUGGUCGUGCCAAUGGUAUGCACUGGCCUUGCUGAUUCCUCCCUCUUGAUGAGCCGUAAUGCCAUUAAUUUGGUGUUGCGGGGAAUCAGGACUGUUACUUUGAAAAAAUUAGAGUGUUUAAAGCAGGCAAGCGCUUGAAUACAUUAGCAUGGAAUAAUGAAAUAGGACGUUUGAUCCUAUUUUGUUGGUUUCUAGGAUUGACGUAAUGAUUAAUAGGGAUAGUUGGGGGCAUUAGUAUUCAAUUGUCAGAGGUGAAAUUCUUGGAUUUAUUGAAGACUAACUACUGCGAAAGCAUUUGCCAAGGAUGUUUUCAUUAAUCAAGAACGAAAGUUAGGGGAUCGAAGACGAUCAGAUACCGUCGUAGUCUUAACCAUAAACUAUGCCGACUAGGGAUCGGAUGAUGUUAAUUUUUUAAUGACUCAUUCGGCGCCUUACG